rnacentral:tRNA from 1 species
GGAGAGGUAUCGAAGUGGUCAUAACGAGGCGGUCUUGAAAACCGUUUGGGUGAAAGCCCGCGUGGGUUCGAAUCCCACCCUCUCCGUCA